rnacentral:rRNA from 1 species
AGAUUGAACGCUGGCGGCAGGCCUAACACAUGCAAGUCGAGCGGUAGAGAGGUGCUUGCACCUCUUGAGAGCGGCGGACAGGUGAGUAAAGCCUAGGAAUCUGCCUGGUAGUGGGGGAUAACGCUCGGAAACGGACGCUAAUACCGCAUACGUCCUACGGGAGAAAGCAGGGGACCUUCGGGCCUUGCGCUAUCAGAUGA